UACGGAGGGUGCAAGCGUUGUCCGGAUUUAUUGGGCGUAAAGCGAGCGCAGGCGGUUUUUUAAGUCUGAUGUGAAAGCCUUCGGCUUAACCGGAGAAGUGCAUCGGAAACUGGGAGACUUGAGUGCAGAAGAGGACAGUGGAACUCCAUGUGUAGCGGUGGAAUGCGUAGAUAUAUGGAAGAACACCAGUGGCGAAGGCGGCUGUCUAGUCUGUAACUGACGCUGAGGCUCGAAAGCAUGGGUAGCGAAC
rnacentral:rRNA from 1 species